rnacentral:lncRNA from 1 species
AUUCUUCAUGAGAUCCUGCUCUGAAUCUGUUACCCUUUUUCAUGACCUCUUUUUGGAACAGUGAUGAAGAGGAAGUGGUAUCAUAUAUGGUUUCAGAAUAAAGCCCUUGAGUCAUUGUAUUAGCUCUUGUUUACAGAACAUUUUAAGAUGCUUUCAAGGAAAUACAAAUAAUAUGAUUCUUAUGCCUAUUUCCUGCCAGUGGCCAACCAGUCUUCUAAGUAUGGUUGAUGUGAGAAGUGAAACUAUUUUCCUAAAUGCUGUUUCUUUUCUCUUUUCAUUAUGAAGUAUAUUCGGUGCUCUUCGAACUGGUGCUUAUAUGGUGUACAUUUUGAUGACCAAAGGCCUGAAGCAGUCAGUUUGUGACCAGGGUUUUUACAAUGGACCUGUCAGCAAAUUCUGGGCUUAUGCAUUUGUGCUAAGCAAAGCACCCGAACUAGGAGAUACAAUAUUCAUUAUUCUGAGGAAGCAGAAGCUGAUCUUCCUGCACUGGUAUCACCACAUCACUG